AAGUCGUAACAAGGUUUCCGUAGCAUAAGUCAAGGAACAUAGUCCUUCCGUGGUUAAAACUUAUAGAAGCCUUAGUAACCCAGAAAUGGGCGGCCACACGACUAAAAAUAAAGUGUCACUUGCUAGUUGACUAUGAUGUCAGCAACAUAAUCAGACUGACGGGAACAAUCUAUCGUACAUCUAAUAAUAUGAUAAUAUUAUAGUUAUAUUAUAGGGCAACCCACAGCGAGUCUCAUGUAUGCAAUUUGCGUAUUAUGGGGAACGUUUACAGACUAAGCGAUUAUGGGUGGAGCAGCAGCCGCUCCAUUUAAGAGAUAGUCGGGCCUGAUGGAUAAUAUCUAUCAGGGUCUUUCGUCGUCUGAAUAGGACAUGUUUCGAAUUUUCAUAGUUCAGUCACAACUGAAGUUGGAUCUGCUGAAUAUGAUUUUGAAAGACUAGACUAUUCAAUUAACGACAAUAACAUAACCGUUCCGUAGGUGAACCUGCGGAAGGAUCAUUAUAGAGAACGUGCCCCUAUGGGGUAAAUCUCCAACCCUAUGUCUACUCUACAAACGUUGCUUUGGUAGGCCUGUCUUAAUGGCUACUGGCAUUCUUGCUAGUCAGUGCCUACCAAGGGACCCUAAAAAUUCUUAGUUUAUUGUAGUCUGAGCCUUUGUUAAAUGAACAAAACUUUCAACAACGGAUCUCUUGGNNCUGGCAUCGAUGANACGCAGCGAAAUGCGAUANUAAUGNGANNCAGANNAGUGAUCAUCGAUCUUUGACGNACAUUGCACCCUCUGGUAUUCCGGGGGUAUGCCUGUCGAGCGUCAUUUCACCCUCAGCUCGNNGUNUGGGCAUCACUNUCGGGUGNGCUCCAAAAUUAGNGCGGUGCCAUUUGGUUCCCAGCGUAGUAAACUCCUCGCUGUGGGAUUCAUAAUGUGCCCUCUGCCAACAACUAAAUUCUCAAGUUUGACCUCGGAUCAGGUAGGGAUACCCGCUGAACUUAAGCAUAUCAAUAAGCGGAGGAAAAGAAACCAACAGGGAUUGCCUCAGUAACGGCGAGUGAAGCGGCAGCAGCUCAAAUUUGAAAUCUGACCUAUGGUCCGAAUUGUAAUUUGUAGGGGAUGCUUCGAACGAAGUCUAGUCUAAGUUUCUUGGAAUAGGACGUCAUAGAGGGUGAGAACCCCGUAUGCGACUAGGCCCUUCAGUUCGUAUGAAGCUCCUUCAACGAGUCGAGUUGUUUGGGAAUGCAGCUCUAAAUGGGUGGUAAAUUUCAUCUAAAGCUAAAUACUGGCCAGAGACCGAUAGCGCACAAGUAGAGUGAUCGAAAGAUGAAAAGCACUUUGGAAAGAGAGUUAAACAGUACGUGAAAUUGUUGAAAGGGAAGCGCUUGCAACCAGACUUGUAUCUAGUUGAUCAUCCGAUGUUCUCACCGGUGUACUCAACUAAAUUCAGGCUAGCAUCGGUUUUGGUGGCUAGAUAAAGACCUUAGGAAUGUAGCUCCUCUCGGGGAGUGUUAUAGCCUGAAGUGUAAUAUAGCCUACCAGGACCGAGGAGCGCGCUUCGGCUAGGAUGCUAGCAUAAUGGUUGUAAGCGACC
rnacentral:rRNA from 1 species